rnacentral:lncRNA from 1 species
UCCCACUCACCGGAACAGUGGCACUCGGGACAGUGCUCCCACUCGCCGACCAACACCCGCUCGCCCAAACAGCGCUCCUUCCGUCGUCCGUGGGCCACGUCGCAACGCUCGUGGAAUUGAAUCCUGGACGUGACAAAACAGAGGAUGAGGGAGUGAGGGCUUGCAACGACGAACUGGGCGAGGAUGGCAUCGGAGAAGCCGAUGUUGGGUUCGAGAGAGUUGUCGACGUUGGCGCAGAGCAGGGGAGAGUAAGAGGAUAUGAGGC